GAAUAAUCAAGAUAGGGUGCACAAAAAUCAUGGAUAGUUCAAGUUACUCAUAGGCCUAAACUUAAGAUCACAAGUUCUUGCUUUUUUCUCAGCAGAUUUCCAUGUGGCAUACACCAGCUCAGCAAUUACCCUUGGCAUUUCACUACAGACACCCUAUUCCUUCCCCCAGAGAGAGGAGCAGCUCGCCACUUCCCCUAGUCCAAAGCUGUUCAUUUUGAGUCCCAGGAUGAUUAAUGGUGACAAUAUUCUUCUUCUGGAGAAAACUCUACCCCAACUACAGGGUGUGGUUUGACUUCACGGACUCCAGCCAUAUGUCCUAGAACCUGGCUUAUUCAAACUUAAAAUAACACCCUCUGUGGGAUACCGACAGCCCUACAACUAUCUAUGCUUAAUUUUACAGAAUGUAACCACCAGCCUGCACAUCUGCAUUCACCUAUAUGGCAACUUCAUCCUCAAGAAGCAGAACUCUGUUUGUACAAAGAGGCUUAACUGGAAGAUUAAAACAAAUUCUAUCUUAAGAUACUGUGCCGUAAAACCAUACACCUGCUCAGAGUUCAAAGGACUGUCGUCUUAUUACAGGUUCUAUAAGCAUCAGGAAAAUUUUACACGUGAAGCGGCAUAGUCAACUGUCAUUAAAGGAAAAUCAGAUUGAGGGCUGUACGGCAAACCCAGCCAAAGCUACACCUUCCACAGAUGAGGGAACCAGGAGACAAGGAACUUGCCACAGGUCACACAGCAACUGAUUCAUAGAAGAGCCAGACAAGAGCGGAGUCAUUUUGGAAGAGAAUAUCCCCUGCACAGCAAGCUUUACAAAAUGAUCAUCCCUUGUGGAAUGCAAACAAAAUGGCCACCAUUUAUUAAUGUUCACAAGAGUUAUUAUUAUAAAUCCAGAUAUUUUCAUACUCUGUUGAAGCUAUUUAUGUCACGUGAACAGGAUAUCUGCCCAGAGUUACUAAGAAGCAGCCUUAAGUACAACAUAAGCCUCUAGGUCCUGUCAAAAAUAACUGGGAGCACUUUGUCUUCUGGGCUGGAAGGGUAGGCAAGAUUUACAGUGAAUGCUGCCACAAUAACCAAUGACCGAUGCUUAUGUUAAGCCAGGAUGCACAUUUUUCUGAGUCAUUAUAUUCUCUAAUUUUAAGUAGAAUAAUAUAUUGGCGUAUCCCCAAUCCAAACCACUUCAACUGCUGUUUGUAUAAAAGGAAAUUUAAAAUAACAAACAGGAAUUCACUAAGGCAUCAAACAUAAUUUCAAUUUUAAUAUCAUCUAAAAUAAGGAACACCAACAAUUUCACAGGAGAAACAAUAGAAGUAGAAGUUGACAUAAUUUUUUAUUUGGAAAAGCGGACUGGAACUGUGUCUAUUCUUACGUGUAUCCCCUGUGGCUAGUAUGACCUGGCAUGUAGCUGAUGCUCAGUAAAUGUUGAUUAUAUAAAUAAAGAAGACUUAGUCAUGGG
rnacentral:lncRNA from 1 species